CCCUAGCCCUGAUAGAAAUGGUUACCCCGCAGCUUGCGUCGGAGGGUGGGAGGGUUGGAGCGUGGGAGAGCGCUGGUGCGAGGAGUAGGAAUGGAUAGCAGGAAAUAGC
rnacentral:sRNA from 1 species